AUUUCACAUGGUUGCGCUAGAGUGGCAGCACGUGCUUGUGGCCUAGUAGGUCUGGAGCCUACAAGGGUUGCAGAAAUCCUCAAAGAUCACCCAUCAUGGUUUCGAGAUUGCCGAUUUGUGGAUGUUAUAAACGUGCUGCCCACCAGCAAUGGUGGAACCAUUGAGCUGCUCUAUAUGCAGGUAGGUAGUGGUUUCUGUGGGCUUACCAUAUGUAGUGGAAUACUUGUGAAACAUCAAAUUAGUGUGGGUCUCAAUCUUUGGUUGCUGAAUUGCGGCUCUAUGCCCCGACAACGUUGGCACCAGCACGCGACUUCUGGUUGCUGCGCUACACUUCAGUUUUGGAAGAUGGCAGCCUUGUGGUCUGUGAGAGAUCUAUUAGCAGCACUCAGGGUGGUCCAAGCAUGCAACCCGUGCAUCCUUUUGUGAGAGCAGAAAUGUUGCUGAGUGGGUACCUCAUAAGGCCUUGUGAAGGAGGCGGGUCAAUGAUACACAUUGUUGAUCAUAUGGAUUUGGAGCCAUGGAGUGUACCUGAAGUGUUACGCCCACUCUAUGAAUCAUCUACGGUGCUUGCUCAGAAGAUGACAAUGGCGGUUGGAACCAAUCUUCCAUUUCCUAAAAUUUGAAAGUUUCCUUUCACCAUGGGCC